UGCUCAGGGGAGUAACAGUGUCACUGGUUGGUGACUUAUUCCGGACCCAACUCGGUCGAACUGAGUUUACAGGUCUAGCAACGCUUGCCACCGCAAUGGAAAUGUAGGUACAGAUUGCAACAACUGCCCCGUCUAGGUCUAGAUUUUUCCUCUGAAAUAAACCUGAUUUCAUCCUGGAGGAUUAUCACAUUUCAGAACACAUCUCAGCCGGGGAGUGGUGGUGCAGUUUCAACACCAGAACCUGAGAGGCAGAGGAAGUCUGGGAUGUUACCAGCAUCUUCAGGAAUCAUCACAACCCUUCAUUCAGUCAGACCAGACCCUGAGGUACGGCCCCUCUCCUCAUCUCUGGAAUUUGGGAACUGGGCAAGGCCAAGAUAGAGAGGAGGCGUGGCCCUGGCACUGGAAACCUGACUCCUGUCUCCACUUCUGUAUUUUCCCCAGGCACGGAUGAAGCCAGAGGGUUUGUGGUGUCAGGAUGUUGUCUGGGGCUGCUGGUGAAGACAGGCGGUGACUGGGAUGAUCAGGGUUCGGAAUCUCCUUCCUGCCUUCCACUCAGGUGGUGCAUAAAGGUUUAGAGAAUCAGCAUUGAAAGCGUAGACAGAUCACAGUUCUGUGCCCUUCUGCUAAACUGAGCUAAAGUCUGCGUUAGGUUCAGACUAUGUAAAUGUCAAAAUGGAGUCCCAGGUAAGCCUGCGGCAGGGAUCAGUCAGGUUGGAUCCAACGGUGCGUGGUGGGUCCUGACAGAAUGUCCACCCUACCUUUCCUCAGGAACUGCCUAGGACAGACUUUCGCCAGAGCACAAUGAAGAUGACACUGGCACUGACUCUGCUGCGAUUCUGUGUCCUGCCGGGUUAGAUACGGAACCGCGCGGGAGACCGCGGAAGCUGAUCCUGCGAGCGAAGGGCGGGCUGUGGCUGCGGGUGGAGCCGCUGACCCCACACCUGGUUUGAUAUCACCCCACCCACCCACCUCAUCGGGAUCCCAGAAUUAACAGAGGUGUUGCCCACACUCGAACCUCACCAUAUACCAACAGGGGGCGCUAUGAAACCGGACUGGUGCCUUUGAGUCCAAGAGCUUUCCUGUCCUCUAGGUGACCACAGGGCUUCCUCCCUGAGCUAGACUAUCCUGUAAGAGCCACUGUAGAUGUCUAAACAAAGGAGGGAACGGGUUUGAGCUUCUGUCACUGAAGCAAACACUGCAUUUUCUUUUGUUUUUGAAACAAGGUCUUACUCAUACAGUCGUAGUAGCCUAGACCUGACUGUGGACCAGUUUACAGCAAACUUCUGCUGAGACCUCAACCACCCAAAUGGUGCAAUUAGAAGGUGGGAUAAUUAUUAGAAACAAAGGGCAGUUUCCCAGGGGAAGUCUGGGAGCCCUUCAAAAUGAUGUUAAAUGAUGUCCAAGGCUUGCAGUGUUUAAGACCAUUGAGGCAGCUUGAAUUUAAAAUGGCAUCACAUUGCAAGCACCCUGUGUGGUGAUGUCCUUUCAGGUCUCCCCUUAUUCCUCCUGGGGCUGGGGAGGUGGCUCAGUGGAGAGACAGGAGGAUCCCGGGGCCUCACUAGCCAGCUAAUCUUGUGAAAUCAGAAAGCUCUAGUGCCUUUAAUCCUGGCACUUGUUGAGGUCAGCCUGAUUUACCAAGCAUGUUCUAGGACAGCCAGGGCCACA
rnacentral:sRNA from 1 species